rnacentral:rRNA from 1 species
GGAUCAAUUAGUUGGUCAUGCCUUGGUAUGUACUGAUUUUAUUGGUUCUCACCUUCUAAAGAACUAUAAUGUCAUUUAUUUGAUGUUAUAGGGAAUUAGGACUGUUACCUUGAAAAAAUUAGAGUGUUUAAAGCAGGCUCACGCUUGAAUACAUUAGCAUGGAAUAAUGAAAUAGGACAUCGCAUUCUAUUUUGUUGGUUUCUAGGAUCGAUGUA